rnacentral:rRNA from 1 species
GACGAACGCUGGCGGCGUGCCUAACACAUGCAAGUCGAGCGAGUGGAUCUCCUUCGGGAGAGAAGCUAGCGGCGGACGGGUGAGUAACACGUGGGCAACCUGCCUCAUAGAGGGGAAUAGCCUCCCGAAAGGGAGAUUAAUACCGCAUAAGAUUGUAGCUUCGCAUGAAGUAGCAAUUAAAGGAGUAAUCCGCUAUGGGAUGGGCCCGCGGCGCAUUAGCUAGUUGGUGAGGUAACGGCUCACCAAGGCGACGAUGCGUAGCCGACCUGAGAGGGUGAUCGGCCACAUUGGGACUGAGACACGGCCCAGACUCCUACGGGAGGCAGCAGUGGGGAAUAUUGCACAAUGGGGGAAACCCUGAUGCAGCAACGCCGCGUGAGUGAUGACGGCCUUCGGGUUGUAAAGCUCUGUCUUCAGGGACGAUAAUGACGGUACCUGAGGAGGAAGCCACGGCUAACUACGUGCCAGCCGCCGCCGUAAUAC